rnacentral:rRNA from 1 species
UGCUUAACACAUGCAAGUCGAACGGAAAGGCCCUUCGGGGCACUCGAGUGGCGAACGGGUGAGUAACACGUGGGUGAUCUGCCCUGCACUUUGGGAUAAGCCUGGGAAACUGGGUCUAAUACCGAAUAGGACCGCGCUCUUCAUGGGGUGUGGUGGAAAGCUUUUGCGGUGUGGGAUGGGCCCGCGGCCUAUCAGCUUGUUGGUGGGGUAAUGGCCUACCAAGGCGACGACGGGUAGCCGGCCUGAGAGGGUGACCGGCCACACUGGGACUGAGAUACGGCCCAGACUCCUACGGGAGGCAGCAGUGGGGAAUAUUGCACAAUGGGCGCAAGCCUGAUGCAGCGACGCCGCGUGAGGGAUGACGGCCUUCGGGUUGUAAACCUCUUUCAAUAGGGACGAAGCGCAAGUGACGGUACCUAUAGAAGAAGGACCGGCCAACUACGUGCCAGCAGCCGCGGUAAUACGUAGGGUCCGAGCGUUGUCCGGAAUUACUGGGCGUAAAGAGCUCGUAG